UGGGGGAUAACGUUCGGAAACGGACGCUAAUACCGCAUACGUCCUACGGGAGAAAGCAGGGGACCUUCGGGCCUUGCGCUAUCAGAUGAGCCUAGGUCGGAUUAGCUAGUUGGUGAGGUAAUGGCUCACCAAGGCGACGAUCCGUAACUGGUCUGAGAGGAUGAUCAGUCACACUGGAACUGAGACACGGUCCAGACUCCUACGGGAGGCAGCAGUGGGGAAUAUUGGACAAUGGGCGAAAGCCUGAUCCAGCCAUGCCGCGUGUGUGAAGAAGGUCUUCGGAUUGUAAAGCACUUUAAGUUGGGAGGAAGGGCAUUAACCUAAUACGUUAGUGUUUUGACGUUACCGACAGAAUAAGCACCGGCUAACUCUGUGCCANCANCCGCGGUAAUACAGAGGGUGCAAGCGUUAAUCGGAAUUACUGGGCGUAAAGCGCGCGUAUGUGGUUUGUUAAGUUGGAUGUGAAAUCCCCNGGCUCAACCUGGGAACUGCAUUCAAAACUGACUGACUAGAGUAUGGUANAGGGUGGUGGAAUUUCCUGUGUANCGGUGAAAUGCGUA
rnacentral:rRNA from 1 species